rnacentral:tRNA from 1 species
GGUUCUAUAGUGUAGCGGCAUCACAUCGGAUUUUGAUCCUUUCUUAUGAUAAACAUUCCGGUAACCCGGGUUCGAAUCCCGGUAGGACCU